rnacentral:rRNA from 1 species
GAAUCAAACUUAAGAGUUUGAUCCUGGCUCAGAACGAACGCUGGCGGCAGGCCUAACACAUGCAAGUCGAACGAACUCUUCGGAGUUAGUGGCGCACGGGUGAGUAACGCGUGGGAAUGUGCCCCUUAGUACGGAACAACAGUUGGAAACGACUGCUAAUACCGUAUAAUAUCUACGGAUCAAAGAUUUAUCGCUAAGGGAUCAGCCCGCGUCUGAUUAGGUAGUUGGUGAGGUAAGAGCUCACCAAGCCGACGAUCAGUAGAUGGUUUGAGAGGAUGAUCAUCCACACUGGUACUGAGACACGGACCAGACUCCUACGGGAGGCAGCAGUGAGGAAUAUUAGACAAUGGGCGCAAGCCUGAUCUAGCCAUGCCGCGUGAGUGAAGAAGGCCUUCGGGUUGUAAAGCUCUUUCAGAUGUGAGGAUAAUGACAGUAACAUCAGAAGAAGCCCCGGCUAAAUUCGUGCCAGCAGCCGCGGUAAUACGGAUGGGGCAAGCGUUGUUCGGAAUCACUGGGCGUAAAGCGUACGUAGGCGGUUUUUCAAGUCAGGAGUGAAAUCCCAGGGCUCAACCCUGGAACUGCUCUUGAAACUGGAUCACUAGAGUCCCGGAGAGGUUGGCGGAAUUCCGAGUGUAGAGGUGAAAUUCGCAGAUAUUCGGAGGAACACCAGUGGCGAAGGCGGCCAACUGGACGGGAACUGACGCUCAGGUACGAAAGCGUGGGGAGCAAACAGGAUUAGAUACCCUGGUAGUCCACGCCGUAAACGAUGUGUGCUAGUUGUUGGGCAUCAUAGAUGUUCAGUGACACAGCUAACGCGUUAAGCACACCGCCUGGGGAGUACGGUCGCAAGAUUAAAACUCAAAGGAAUUGACGGGGACCCGCACAAGCGGUGGAGCAUGUUGUUUAAUUCGAAGCAACGCGAAGAACCUUACCUACCCUUGACAUACUUGUCGCACUUACCAGAGAUGGUUUGUUUCAGUUAGGCUGGACAAUGUACAGGUGCUGCAUGGCUGUCGUCAGCUCGUGUCGUGAGAUGUUGGGUUAAGUCCCGCAACGAGCGCAACCCUUAUCGUCUGUUGCCAGCACGUAAUGGUGGGAACUCUGACGAGACUGCCGGUGAUAAGCCGGAGGAAGGCGGGGAUGACGUCAAGUCAUCAUGGCCCUUACGGGUAGGGCUACAAACGUGCUACAAUGGCUACUACAGUGGGCAGCUAGACCGUGAGGUCAUGCGAAUCUCUAAAAGUAGUCUCAGUUCGGAUUGUUCUCUGCAACUCGAGAGCAUGAAGUCGGAAUCGCUAGUAAUCGUGGAUCAGCAUGCCACGGUGAAUACGUUCCCGGGUCUUGUACACACCGCCCGUCACAUCAUGGGAGUUGGUUCUGCCCGAAGGCCGUGUGCUAACCAGUUUACUGGAGGCAGCGGACCACGGUAGGGUCAGCGACUGGGAUGAAGUCGUAACAAGGUAGCCGUAGGGGAACCUGCGGCUGGAUCACCUCCUUUCUAAGGA